rnacentral:rRNA from 1 species
CUGCUGCCUUCCGUAGGAGUUUGGGCCGUGUCUCAGUCCCAAUGUGGCCGUCCGCCCUCUCAGGCCGGCUACCGAUCGUCGCUUUGGUGGGCCGUUACCCCGCCAACUGGCUAAUCGGACGCGGAUCCAUCGUAUGCCGAUAAUUCUUUUCACACCGUGUCAUGCGACACUGUGCGCUUAUGCGGUAUUAGCAACUGUUUCCAGUUGGUAUCCCCCGUGCAUACGGCAGGUUAUCCACGCGUUACUCACCCGUCCG